rnacentral:rRNA from 1 species
AUGUACAUGGGCUACUACAACCAGUUCGACGGCGGCAUCCCGGCAGAGUUCGGGGACCUGGAGGCGCUCGUGCUGCUCGACAUGAGCAGCUGCUGCCUCACAGGCCCCAUACCGCCAGAGCUCGGCCAGCUUAAGCUGCUCAACACGCUCUAUAUGUUUCUGAACUGGCUGUCUGGGGAUAUACCGCCGGCACUGGGUGAGCUGAAGAAUCUUGCAUCGCUGGACCUCUCUAUGAACGAGCUCGCCGGCAAAAUACCAGCGAGUCUGGCACAGCUUACAAACCUGAAGCUUCUUAACCUUUUUGGGAACUACCUCCAUGGCGUAAUACCGGAGUUCGUCGCCGACCUGCUGAACCUUGAGGUGCUGCAGCUCUGGGACAACAAUUUCUCCGGUCAUCUCCCAGCUGGACUUGGCAAGAACGGCCGUCUCAAGAAGCUGAACGUGGGCAACAACAAUCUCUCCGGUCAUCUCCCAGCCGGGCUUCGCAAUUACAGUCUCAAGACGCUGGACGUGUCCUACAACCACCUCACCGGUCAUCUCCCACCAGACAUCUGCACAAGCGGGAACUUGGAGAAGCUAGUGCUCAUGGAGAAUGUCUUCUUUGGACCCAUCCCCGUGUCGCUCGGCGACUGCAAAAUGCUCCGGCAUGUCUACCUGAAUAACAACUUUCUCAGCGGUCCAAUCCCUUGA